UUCCACCAGGGGGAAGAGACACAGACGAGU
rnacentral:piRNA from 1 species